rnacentral:misc_RNA from 1 species
AAGUCGUAACAAGGUUUCCGUAGGUGAACCUGCGGAAGGAUCAUUAGCGAAGUUCGGAAUGCAUGUUCGACGUUGAUGCUGCCCAGCAAUGGGAUGUGCUCGCUCGGAUGUGUGUCCCUUCUCUAUCCACCCCAUUGUGAACCAAGUGUGUGAGCCGAAGAGAAAUCGGACGCUCGCAUGCAAACCUUUAACAUACCCCAAUGAAGUAUCAGAAUGUACCUUGCGUUAACUCGCACAAAUAUAACUUUCAACAACGGAUCUCUUGGCUCUC